GACGAACGCUGGCGGCGUGCCUAAUACAUGCAAGUUGAGCGAUGAAGAUUGGUGCUUGCACCAAUUUGAAGAGCAGCGAACGGGUGAGUAACGCGUGGGGAAUCUGCCUUUGAGCGGGGGACAACAUUUGGAAACGAAUGCUAAUACCGCAUAACAACUUUAAACAUAAGUUUUAAGUUUGAAAGAUGCAAUUGCAUCACUCAAAGAUGAUCCCGCGUUGUAUUGGCUAGUUGGUGAGGUAAAGGCUCACCAAGGCGAUGAUACAUAGCCGACCUGAGAGGGUGAUCGGCCACAUUGGGACUGAGACCCGGCCCAAACUCCUACGGGAGGCAGCAGUAGGGAAUCUUCGGCAAUGGACGAAAGUCUGACCGAGCAACGCCGCGUGAGUGAAGAAGGUUUUCGGAUCGUAAAACUCUGUUGGUAGAGAAGAACGUUGGUGAGAGUGGAAAGCUCAUCAAGUGACGGUAACUACCCAGAAAGGGACGGCUAACUACGUG
rnacentral:rRNA from 1 species